AGCUUUGCGCACUGGCAGUAUCGUGGCCAAUGAGGUUUAUCUGAGGCACGAUUAUUGUUAAUUGAAAACUUUUCCCCAGUAAGUGAUAGUUGUACAUUCCUAACAGGUAGAAAUUUUUUAAAAAGCUAAAACAAGC